UAGUCCACGCCGUAAACGAUGAUCACUCGAUGUACACGCUUGUCGUGUGCGUCUAAGCGAAAGCAUUAAGUGAUCCACCUGGGUAGUACGUGCGCAAGUUUGAAACUCAAAGGAAUUGACGGGGGCUUGAACAAUCGGUGGAGCAUGUUGUUUAAUGCGAUACGACGCGAGGAACCUUACCUGGGCUCGAACGCCUCUGCUACCCUGAGAAAUCAGGGGUUCCUUCGGGACAGAGUGCGAGGGCUGCAUGGCCACCAUCAGCCUGUGCUGUGAAGUGCAGGGUUAAAUCCCAUAACAGGCGCAACCCCUAUGCUUAGUUGCCAACACGUAACGGUGGGAACUCUAAGCAGACUGCCUGCGCAAGCAGUGAGGAAGGAGGGGAUGAGGUUAGGUCAUCAUGGCCUUUAUGCCCAGGGCUACAAACGUGCUACAAUGGCGUAUACAGAGAGAAGCUACCUGGCAACAGGAUGCCAAUCUUC
rnacentral:rRNA from 1 species